UCUAGCGUACAUGGGCACAACGUGCAGGUUUGUUACGUAUAUAUACGUGUUCCAUGUUGGUGUGCUGCACUCCUAGCAGAGUCUUUCCAAGGGUCAUCCGCGCUCGUGGCUGUGAACAUUCGUGCACACGUUGUGCCAGGAGGGAGCGGCCGGGUCACGUGGUGAUUCUGUGUUUAACUUUUUUUUUUUUUUUUUUUUUUUUGAGACGGAGUCUCACUCUGUCGCCCACGCUGGAGUUCAGCAGCACCAUCUCCGCUCACCGCAAGCUCCGCCUCCCGGGUUCACGCCAUUCUCCUCCCUCAGCCUCCCGAGUAGGUGGGACUACAGGCGCCCGCCACCACGCCCGGCUAAUUUUUUGUAUUUUUAGUAGAGACAGGGUUUCACCCUGACCUUGUGAUCCGCCCGCCCCGGCCUCCCAAAGUGCUGGGAUUACAGGUGUGAGCCACCGCGUCCUGUGUUUAACUUUUUAAGACCCGUUUCUGCUGGGUGUGACUGCGCCAUUUGACCUCCUCUCUGACCAUAAGAUUGUGAGCCUCUGGAAGCCACGAUGUUCCCGUCUGCUAAUGGGAAUCAUCAUCUCUCGGCAGCACGAGGAAGCCAGAGGGAGAGGAUGGGGUCGGCUUCGCCGAGGGUGCGCACCACGGCUCUGUCGCCAUGGUGACCCACGAGCCUGGCCUUUGCAGGAAGCCCCAGGCCUGUUCCACCAUCUGUACAUGCUGACGCCAGGUGAGCUGUGGAACUGAACAGAACCAAAGGGACUCCGAUGGAACGGCUGAGGGCACUUCUGGCCCUGAGGCUCUGCUGAGCCGUCGCAAGCCCAUGCUGGGCGGUCACGCCUGUCUCAUCGUUGCAGCAGCUGGUCUGUCCUGAUGCUCCAGGUGGACGCUUCGUUCUUGGCUCGGCCCGUGGAAACCAUGAAAAGUGGAGGUCCUGUGUGGGGCAUCUGCAACAUACCAGCCACGGAGCUCGGGGCUCACAGUAGCUUCUCAGUAAAUACUGAAUGGACGCCUGGUUUCCAGUUUCCGUGACACAUUGCAAUGUGACAACCACGGAGGCCCAGUGAGCUGGGAAGGCCUCCAGG
rnacentral:lncRNA from 10 species